CUCCCACCAGACCCCACCCCUAACAGCAGUCAGCUGGGAGGCUCCAGCUCUCACCUGUGUGCGUGGUUUUUCUUGAAUCAUCCAUUUAGCAAAUAUUUGAGCCCCUCUGCCCCAGAGGAGUGACAUGGCCUCUGCUCGCUAGAGUCCCCUCGUUGUGUCCCUGUGGUCAGCCCUCUGGUUAGCCGCAUGCUUGGGAUGACAGGGAGGAGCAGGCACUGUCAGCUUCUACAGGACAGGAGGUGCCCUGAGGCCCCGAGGCACUGUCCCUCAUCUGGCUUCUGCGGAGACUGUGCCAGGCACUGCCACCUUGCAGGGAUUCAUGUCACCAGUGGCCUGGGAGAGCCACGCCCAACGUGUAGCCUUCAUACUUAAAGACGCAGACAAGGCAAAUGGAAGCAUAUUCAUUUAAACAGAUCAGUAAGCUGUGGUCGCCUGAUGAGAGCUGUCUGCGGUGACGCUGUGGAGGCUGUGGAUGCUGCCUGGAGACGCAUUUCUGUGGCCGCGUUGGGUGCUCCCAGCUGCUUUCAGGUGUGAGUGAGCCCUGCUCGAGGCUGCGACACCCUCACCAGCUUCCGCUCAGGUGUGAUGACCGAUCUUCCAGGUCCUCUGGGCCGGGCGGAGGGCUCAGGCGACCAGCUGCUGGACACGUUGUGGGAGCUGGGAUCGAACUCAUAACUUUGUGCUUGCUGCCGGGCAGGUGCUCUGGCCGGCCCAUCCGGACCCCUUCUUUAUGGAGUUUGCUCUGCAGCUUCCCUCACCCCGGGCGCUGCUGAAUCCCACCGAGGCUCUCCUGCAGCUGCAGCGCUGUGCACCGCUGCCCGGUAGCUCCAAGUCUGGGCCUGCGCCCCGGAGCAGGGCUGUCAAGGAUCGCUCACAGCCUGAGGCUUCCUUUCCCUACUAGAACUUUCCAAGGGAGCAGAGACAAGCAAGACUGGACACAGCAAAUGAUGGCCUGUGUCCCCACUGUCUGGCGGAAGAAGCCAAGCAUCAGGACUCGGGCUUUCCCAAAGAGGUCAUCCUCGGCUGGGAGUUUAUUUAUUCCAUUGAUUGCUGCUGGAUUUUUGAUAGGAAGCAGUAGGCUUUUGAAUGAUUGAGACUCCACACGGAAGAUAAUCACACUGUAUUGAUUCGGCUCUCCUGGCGGUGUUCAGGGUGUGAGGAAUUCAUCUCUGAGGAACUGAUUUACUGUUUAUUUAGACAACAGGGAUUGAACCCAGAGCCUCCCCAUGGCGCUCCAUCUUCAGUUCCUUUUUUAAAAAAUUUAAAUUUUGAGAAAGGAUUCCCUAAGCCACUAAAUUGCCCAGGCUGGGCUUGAACCCGAGAUCCUCCUGCCUCAGCCUCAGAGUGCUGUGAUUGCCAUCCCGCCUGGCAGAGAAUUUUUCUUAUUUUUACAUUUUACUUUGAAUACUGAGCCUUUGUUAGUCAUAUGCUUUGCAAAUAUCUUUUCUAGUGUUGUUUUUUCAGCAUAACUCAUGAUAUUUUAUGUAUGGAAAUGUUCAAUUUUGGGGUAGUUAAAUAUUAAUUUUUAUGUUUUGUCUUAUAAACCUUCCUUUCUGUCUUGUUUGGAUAUUCUUUUUCUCACAAUCUUAAAGAUAUGCUGUUAUAUUGUCCUCUAAUUUGUCUGAAAGCUUUGAAUUUUUAGAUACUUAAUGAAUCUGAAAUGGAGUUUUGCAUUAAAUGAGGUCCAGCUGCCCUUGGUAUUGUAUGUUCUGAUGUGAUACCGGUUACUAACCAGCUGAUAUUUAUCCUACUGCCCUGCAACACCAGAACUGUCAUAUAUUAUGUUCCCAUACAGGAGUGGGUCUGUACCUAGAAUUAUUUUUUCUUCAAAUCAAAUAAAUGAUCUAUACAUUUGCGAAGCUAGGUUGCUUUACUGUCAUCUUACAAUAAACUUUGACAUCUAAUAAAGUGUG